rnacentral:rRNA from 1 species
CAGUCGCCGCGGUAACACGGAGGAUCCAAGCGUUAUCCGGAUUUAUUGGGUUUAAAGGGUGCGUAGGUGGCCUGUUAAGUCAGGGGUGAAAGACGGUAGCUUAACUAUCGCAGUGCCCUUGAUACUGAUGGGCUUGAAUGAACUAGAGGUAGGCGGAGUGUGACAAGUAGCGGUGAAAUGCAUAGAUAUGUCACAGAACACCGAUUGCGAAGGCAGCUUACUAUGGUUUUAUUGACACUGAGGCACGAAAGCGUGGGGAUCAAACAGGAUUAGAUACCCGUGUAGUCCCUGUCUCUUAUAC